UACAGAGGUCCCGAGCGUUUGUUCGGAUUUAUUGGGCGUAAAGGGUGCGUAGGCGGCGGAGUAAGUUGGGUGUGAAAUCCCGGGGCUUAACCCUCGGAAUUGCAUUCAAUACUGCUUCGCUCGAGUACUGGAGAGGAGGCUGGAAUUUACGGUGUAGCAGUGAAAUGCGUAGAUAUCGUAAGGAAGGCCGGUGGCGAAAGCGAGCCUCUGGACAGUUACUGACGCUGAUGCACGAAGGCCAGGGGAGCAAACGGG
rnacentral:rRNA from 1 species